AAAGAGAGACAUGAGAGAUAUAAAAGCAAUGCUGAAAAUGUCACCGUACAGUGCAGUGUCAAAAGCAAUAAAAAGGAGCAUAGAGCAAAUGUAAAAAAAACAACAACAAAAGAAAAACAAUGUGCCAGUAUAGUAUUGUAUCAAACAAAAUGCCAUAGCAAGUUCUCAAAAAAUGUUUUAAAAUGUCAUAAUGUAUUAAGGCAUGGUAUAGUAAUAGAUGUCAAAACAUGGCAUAUUAUGGUAAGGAAUCAAAAACUGCCAAAAAAGUUCAUAGUAUAGUAAGGUGUCAAAAAAUGUAGUAUAGUCAGGCACUAAAAACAUCAAUAAAUUUUAAAAAAUGUCAUAGUAUAAUAAGGUGUCAAAACUGGUCAAGAAAACUGUCAUAGGGUAGUAAGGCGUCAAAAAAAUUCCAAGGCGUCCAAAAAUGUCAAAAAAUGUCUUAGUAUAGUAAGGUGUCAAAAAAUGUCAAAAAAUAUCAUAGUAUAGUAAGAUGUCAAAAAAUGUCACAGUGUAGUAAGGCAUCAAAAAAUUUCAAAAACUGUCAUAGUAUAGUAAGGUGUCAAAAAAUGUCAUAGUAUAGUAAGGCGUCAAAAAUGGUCAAAAAAUGUCAUAGUAUAGUAAGGGGCCCAAAAAUGUCACAGUGUAGUAAGGCAUCAAAAACAGUCAAAAAAUGUCAAAAAAUGUCAUAGUAUAGUAAGGAAUCAAAAAAUGACAAAAAAUGUCAUAGUAUAGUAAGGUCUCAAAAAUGUCAUAGUAUAGUAAGGUCUCAAAAAAUUUCGAAAAAUGUCACAGUGUAGUAAGGCAUCAAAAACGGUCAAAAAAUGUGAAAAAUGUCAUAGUAUAGUAAGGUGUCAAAAAUGGUCAAAAAAUGUCAUAGUACAGUAAGGCAUCAAAAAAUGUCAAAAAAUGUCAUAGUAUAGUAAGGUGUCAAAAAAUGUCACAGUGUAGUAAGGCAUCAAAAAAUUUCAAAAACUGUCAUAGUAUAGUAAGGCAUCAAAAAAUAAAAAAAAAUGUCAUAGUAUAGUAAGGUGUCAAAAAAUGUCAUAGUAUAGUAAGGCGUCCAAAAAUAUAAAAAAAUGUCAUAGUAUAGUAAGGUGUCAAAAAUGGUCAAAAAAAUUUCAAUGUUAUAGUAAGGUGUCCAAAAAUGUCAUAGUACAGUAAGGCAUCAAAAACAGUCAAAAAAUGUCAUAGUAUAGUAAGGUGUCAAAAAUGGUCAAAAAAUGUCAUAGUAUAGUAAGGCAUCAAAAAAUGUCAUAGUAUAGUAAGGCAUCAAAAAAUGUCAUAGUAUAGUGAGGUCUCAAAAAUGUCAUAGUAUAAAAAGGCGUCAAAAAAUGUCAUAGUAUAGUAAGGCAUCAAAAAAUGUCAAAAAAUAUCAUAGUAUAGUAAGGCAUCAAAAACAGUCAAAAAAUGUCAUAGUAUAGUAAGGCGUCAAAAAAUGUCAAAAAUGUCAUAGUAUAGUGAGGUCUCAAAAAUGUCAUAGUAUAAUAAGGCGUCAAAAAAUGUCAUAGUAUAGUAAGGAAUCAAAAAAUGACAAAAAAUGUCAUAGUAUAGUAAGGUCUCAAAAAUGUCAUAGUAUAGUAAGGUGUCAAAAAUUUUCAAAAAAUGUCAGUGUAGUAAGGCAUCAAAAACGGUCAAAAAAUGUGAAAAAUGUCAUAGUAUAGUAAGGUAUCAAAAAUGGUCAAAAAAUGUCUUAGUAUAGUAAGGUGUCAAAAAUGGUCAAAAAAAUGUCAAUGUUAUAGUAAGGUGUCAAAAAUGUCAUAGUAUAGUAAGGUGUCAAAAAAUUUCAAAAAAUGUCAGUGUAGUAAGGCAUCAAAAACGGUCAAAAAAUGUGAAAAAUGUUAUAGUAUAGUAAGGUGUCAAAAAUGGUCAAAAAAUGUCAUAGUAUAGUAAGGUGUCAAAAAAUGUGAAAAAUGUCAUAGUAUAGUAAGGUGUCAAAAAAUGUGAAAAAUGUCAUAGUAUAGUAAGGUGUCAAAAAAUGUCAAAAUAUGUCAUAGUAU